UACAUGGGGUGCAAACGUUGCUCGGAAUCAUUGGGCGUAAAGCGCGCGUAGGCGGUUACUUAAGUCGGAUGUGAAAGCCCUCGGCUUAACUGAGGAAGUGCACCCGAAACUGAGUAGCUAGAGUACGAAAGAGGGUCGCGGAAUUCCCGGUGUAGAGGUGAAAUUCGUAGAUAUCGGGAGGAACACCGGUGGCGAAGGCGGCGACCUGGGUCGACACUGACGCUGAGGCGCGAAAGCGUGGGGAGCGAACCGG
rnacentral:rRNA from 1 species